rnacentral:rRNA from 1 species
AUUGAACGCCGGCGGCAGGCUUAACACAUGCAAGUCGAGCGGGGGAAGGUAGCUUGCUACUGGACCUAGCGGCGGACGGGUGAGUAAUGCUUAGGAAUCUGCCUAUUAGUGGGGGACAACAUCUCGAAAGGGAUGCUAAUACCGCAUAAGUCCUACGGGAGAAAGCAGGGGAUCUUCGGACCUUGCGCUAAUAGAUGAGCCUAAGUCGGAUUAGCUAGUUGGUGGGGUAAAGGCCUACCAAGGCGACGAUCUGUAGCGGGUCUGAGAGGAUGAUCCGCCACACUGGGACUGAGACACGGCCCAGACUCCUACGGGAGGCAGCAGUGGGGAAUAUUGGACAAUGGGGGGAACCCUGAUCCAGCCAUGCCGCGUGUGUGAAGAAGGCCUUAUGGUUGUAAAGCACUUUAAGCGAGGAGGAGGCUACUCUAGUUAAUACCUAGGGAUAGUGGACGUUACUCGCAGAAUAAGCACCGGCUAACUCUGUGCCAGCCGCCGCUGUAA